AAACCAACAAGCUUGCUUGUUGGGGUUGUAGGACACUCUAUACGGAGUUACAAAAGAACAUGUUAGACGAAUCAUCUGGAAAGAUGAAUCAAAGAAGGUAAUAAUCCUGUAGUCGAAAACAUAUUCUCUCUUGAGUGGAUCCUGAGUACGACGGAGCACGUGAAAUUCCGUCGGAAUCUGGGAGGACCAUCUCCUAAGGCUAAAUACUCUCUAGUGACCGAUAGUGAACCAGUACCGUGAGGGAAAGGUGAAAAGUACCCCGGAAGGGGAGUGAAAGAGAACUUGAAACCGUGUGCUUACAAGUAGUCAGAGCCCGUUAAUGGGUGAUGGCGUGCCUUUUGUAGAAUGAACCGGCGAGUUACGAUCUGAUGCAAGGUUAAGCAGCAAAUGUGGAGCCGCAGCGAAAGCGAGUCUGAAUAGGGCGUUGAGUAUUUGGUCGUAGACCCGAAACCAGGUGAUCUACCCUUGGUCAGGUUGAAGUUCAGGUAACACUGAAUGGAGGACCGAACCGACUUACGUUGAAAAGUGAGCGGAUGAACUGAGGGUAGCGGAGAAAUUCCAAUCGAACUUGGAGAUAGCUGGUUCUCUCCGAAAUAGCUUUAGGGCUAGCCUCAAGUGAUGAUUAUUGGAGGUAGAGCACUGUUUGGACGAGGGGCCCCUCUCGGGUUACCGAAUUCAGACAAACUCCGAAUGCCAAUUAAUUUAACUUGGGAGUCAGAACAUGGGUGAUAAGGUCCGUGUUCGAAAGGGAAACAGCCCAGACCACCAGCUAAGGUCCCAAAAUAUAUGUUAAGUGGAAAAGGAUGUGGCGUUGCCCAGACAACUAGGAUGUUGGCUUAGAAGCAGCCAUCAUUUAAAGAGUGCGUAAUAGCUCACUAGUCGAGUGACACUGCGCCGAAAAUGUACCGGGGCUAAACAUAUUACCGAAGCUGUGGAUUGUCCUUUGGACAAUGGUAGGAGAGCGUUCUAAGGGCGUCGAAGCAUGAUCGCAAGGACAUGUGGAGCGCUUAGAAGUGAGAAUGCCGGUGUGAGUAGCGAAAGACGGGUGAGAAUCCCGUCCACCGAUUGACUAAGGUUUCCAGAGGAAGGCUCGUCCGCUCUGGGUUAGUCGGGUCCUAAGCUGAGGCCGACAGGCGUAGGCGAUGGAUAACAGGUUGAUAUUCCUGUACCACCUAGUAUCGUUUUAAUCGAUGGGGGGACGCAGUAGGAUAGGCGAAGCGUGCUGUUGGAGUGCACGUCCAAGCAGUAAGGCUGAGUGUUAGGCAAAUCCGGCACUCAUAAGGCUGAGCUGUGAUGGGGAGAGGAAAUUGUUUCCUCGAGUCGUUGAUUUCACACUGCCGAGAAAAGCCUCUAGAUAGAUAACAGGUGCCCGUACCGCAAACCGACACAGGUAGUCAAGAUGAGAAUUCUAAGGUGAGCGAGCGAACUCUCGUUAAGGAACUCGGCAAAAUGACCCCGUAACUUCGGGAGAAGGGGUGCUCUUUAGGGUUCACGCCCAGAAGAGCCGCAGUGAAUAGGCCCAAGCGACUGUUUAUCAAAAACACAGGUCUCUGCUAAACCGUAAGGUGAUGUAUAGGGGCUGACGCCUGCCCGGUGCUGGAAGGUUAAGAGGAGUGGUUAGCUUCUGCGAAGCUACGAAUCGAAGCCCCAGUAAACGGCGGCCGUAACUAUAACGGUCCUAAGGUAGCGAAAUUCCUUGUCGGGUAAGUUCCGACCCGCACGAAAGGCGUAACGAUUUGGGCACUGUCUCAACGAGAGACUCGGUGAAAUCAUAGUACCUGUGAAGAUGCAGGUUACCCGCGACAGGACGGAAAGACCCCGUGGAGCUUUACUGUAGCCUGAUAUUGAAAUUCGGCACAGCUUGUACAGGAUAGGUAGGAGCCUUUGAAACGUGAGCGCUAGCUUACGUGGAGGCGUUGGUGGGAUACUACCCUAGCUGUGUUGGCUUUCUAACCCGCACCACUUAUCGUGGUGGGAGACAGUGUCAGGCGGGCAGUUUGACUGGGGCGGUCGCCUCCUAAAAGGUAACGGAGGCGCUCAAAGGUUCCCUCAGAAUGGUUGGAAAUCAUUCAUAGAGUGUAAAGGCAUAAGGGAGCUUGACUGCGAGACCUACAAGUCGAGCAGGGUCGAAAGACGGACUUAGUGAUCCGGUGGUUCCGCAUGGAAGGGCCAUCGCUCAACGGAUAAAAGCUACCCCGGGGAUAACAGGCUUAUCUCCCCCAAGAGUUCACAUCGACGGGGAGGUUUGGCACCUCGAUGUCGGCUCAUCGCAUCCUGGGGCUGUAGUCGGUCCCAAGGGUUGGGCUGUUCGCCCAUUAAAGCGGUACGCGAGCUGGGUUCAGAACGUCGUGAGACAGUUCGGUCCCUAUCCGUCGUGGGCGUAGGAAAUUUGAGAGGAGCUGUCCUUAGUACGAGAGGACCGGGAUGGACAUACCUCUGGUGUACCAGUUGUCGUGCCAACGGCAUAGCUGGGUAGCUAUGUAUGGACGGGAUAAGUGCUGAAAGCAUCUAAGCAUGAAGCCCCCCUCAAGAUGAGAUUUCCCAACUUCGGUUAUAAGAUCCCUCGAAGAUGACGAGGUUAAUAGGUUCGAGGUGGAAGCGUGGUGACACGUGGAGCUGACGAAUACUAAUCGAUCGAAGACUUAAUCAAUUUUUAAA
rnacentral:rRNA from 1 species